UACACGUGGAAUCGGCUCUUUUUAGAACCAUCGUGACGUAGAACGGCUGACGUGUUCGUUGGAUAACGCCAAUGCCGCUGGCAUGUCAAUUUUGUCAUUUAAUAUCUCGAUAGUGGUUUGUGCGAAAAAUACAAGUAGCGUUUUGAAAAUUUUUUACUGUCGGUUACACGAAUAUGGAAUACAAAAAUGUAGUUUCCAUUCGAAAAUAUAAUCGUGAUUUCCUAGAUCCCCCGGUGCUUUCCCAGAUCGUCGUAAGAGAAAAUAAAUAUCGCUUUCGUCCAUUGUCCAACGUCCAUUGAAUUUUUCGAUAGAACCGACGGAAUAUAAUUCGCCGAGAAUACAGCCGGGGAUGGUUUAUUAUCAGCCCCUUCACUGUGUCGUCAUUUCCACUAGACCGGCCUCUUGCAGCCACCGAAAUGGACUUCUGUCGCCGAGGUAAUGGGGGGGGGGGAGAGGUCGUUUAAGAAUUUUUCGCUCGAGUUUGCAGUUGAAUCGAGACCUGCCACCGCGAUGAGAAAACUUUCUAGGUAUCGACCUUAAACUUACUGUGUAAAUUGGUAGACGUGAUUCGAACGCCUUUCGUUUUUCGGUAAUACCAUUAAUUUUGUCAGAAUUGAAUUCUCCGCGGGUUGGUUGGGGAUAUACCGAGUUUUGGAAAUUGAUGUGAGUCAAUAAUAGCUUUCUAUACUUUCGCAACGAAGUGGAUGAAAUUAUUUGGGAAAGUCAAUAAAAUCAUUGCGCUGAAGCAACGUCGCGUAUAAUACGAAUAACAAUAAUCUUCGUAUUCAGAAAGCAAUUCCUAUUCAGGAUUCAGAAAUUUCAUAUGGAUGCACUAAAAAAGGGAGAGAAGGAAGUAUUUUAAGCGAAAAGUAUGAAAAGAGGAGAAAUUGGAGAUGGCAGGAAACGAGAGAAGGCGGACGAUAUCGCGUUAAGUAUUAAAACGCGGCAAUAACAAAUACAUUACGUGUUAAGCGUAGUUUCCAAGUGACGUCAAACGCGAUAGAAGCGCGGUCCACGGCGGUGGAUAUUUAUUGAAAAAAAAUCAUGCCCGGUUGCCUGUAUUUUAAUUAAACGAAACCGCGGAUUGCCGUUGAAUUUUUUAUCCUCUCAUUUCCAUUUCCACCCCUCUGUUUCGCUCCGUUUUUAUGCCCCGCUAUCAAACAAACGAUAUGUAAUACGUUUUGUUGCUGAAAAACGAUACGUUCAACGUCGUGAUGCGAAUAAAUGUUUAAUCAACCUACAGUUCCUUUCGCAAAUAUUGACAAAUCAAAAGACGAGGUAUGAUUUAAAAAAUUACGCCACCCCCUUCGAUCGUGGCUAUAUCAAGGAUUCAAAUUUUUUUACGACGCCGCGUGUAUAAAUUUGUUAGACGAA